UUUUGGGGAAUUUUUGGGAAUGGAACUGGAGGAUUUUUAGGAUUUUUUGGGGGGGAAUUUUUGGGACCAGAAUUGGGGAAUUUUUUGGGAAUUUUUUUGGGCUGGAAUUGGAGGAUUUUUGUGGGAUUUUUUGGAAAUUUUUGGGGCUGGAAUUGGGGCAUUUUUGGGAAUUUUUUGGGAAUGGAACUGGGGAUUUUUUGGGAAUUUUUGGGGCUGGAAUUGGGGCAUUUUUGGGAUUUUUUGGGGAUUUUUGGGACCAGAAUUGGGGAAUUUUUGAGAAUUUUUGGGACUGAAAUUGGGGGAUUUUGGGGAAUUUUUGGGAAUGGAACUGGAGGAUUUUUUAGGAAUUUUUGGGACAGGAAUUGGGGAUUUUUUGGGAAUUUUUGGGGCUGGAAUUGGGGGAUUUUUGGGGAAUUUUUGGGAAUGGAACUGGAGGAUUUUUAGGAUUUUUUGGGGGGGAAUUUUUGGGACCAGAAUUGGGGAAUUUUUUGGGAAUUUUUUUGGGCUGGAAUUGGAGGAUUUUUGUGGGAUUUUUUGGAAAUUUUUGGGGCUGGAAUUGGGGCAUUUUUGGGAAUUUUUUGGGAAUGGAACUGGGGAUUUUUUGGGAAUUUUUGGGGCUGGAAUUGGGGGAUUUUUUGGGAAUUUUUGUGGAUUUUUUUGCCAUUCCCACCUCGUCCAUGGCGCGGAUCUCCAGGCGCAGUUUGUCCAUGACCGUGAUGAAAAGCUGCCAAAAUUCCAACGGAAAUUUGGGAUCAGCCCCAGCCCAAAUAUCCCCAAAAUCCCCCCAAAAAUCCCUUAAAAAAUAACAAAACACACAAAAAAAAAAUCCCCCAAAAAUCUCUUAAAAAAUCCCAAAAUCCUGCCCCAAAAAUUCCCAAAAAAUCCCCAAUUCCUGUCCCAAAAAUUCCCAAAAAAUCCCCAAUUCCUGUCCCAAAAAUUUCCCAAAAAAUCCCCAAUUCCUGUCCCAAAAAUUCCCAAAAAAUCCCCAAUUCCUGUCCCAAAAAUUCCCAAAAAAUCCCCCAAAUCCAGCCCCAAAAAUUCCCAAAUAAUUUUCAAAAAUCCCCCAAUUCCAGCCUCAAAAAUUCCCAAAAAAUCCCAAUUCCACUCCCAAAAAUUCCCCAAAAUCCCCCAAUUUUAGUCCCAAAAAUUCCCAAAAAUC
rnacentral:lncRNA from 1 species